GACCUGGUGGUGGAGGGACCACACCUGCUCCUCUUAUCCCUGGCAGUAGCUACAUUUGGCAGCAGGAGUCCCCGGUUCGAUUCCGGGCUGGGUCA